UACGAAGGACCCGAGCGUUAUCCGGAUUCAUUGGGUUUAAAGGGUGCGUAGGCGGAAUGGUAAGUCAGUGGUGAAAUCCUGCGGCUUAACUGCAGAACUGCCAUUGAUACUGCCAAUCUUGAGUACAUUUGAUGUGGGCGGAAUGUGCCAUGUAGUGGUGAAAUACUUAGAUAUGGCACAGAACACCGAUCGCGAAGGCAGCUCACAAAACUGUAACUGACGCUGAGGCACGAAAGCGUGGGGAUCAAACAGG
rnacentral:rRNA from 1 species